CGUGUGGCCGGGUCGUGGAGGUGCCUCCAGGGCUGAAACCGGGUGGAAGGUGGCUACCUCGCCGUGACCUCAGCCCCUCCAAGCUUGGGCAGGAAGGGAAGCACACACCCCGGAGCGCUGAGGGCAGAAAUCUGACCUUGGAAUCUUCCAGAGCUGAGCUGCCUGAGUCCUCCGCUGGGCUGGGCCCCCAGGGCUGCCGUCGUUCUGGGGGGCUCUCUGUGGCUCUGUUCCCGGGGCCUCCCGCAGCCCUUUCCGUCCACACGAGCGCACACGAGCCGCCAGGUUCCGUGGGGAUGGGAGCCGAGGGGAGGGCCCCGAGGGGAGGGCCCCUCCUCCAGGGGCUGGGGUCCCGGCCGCGGCUGCAGCUCCCGGGCCCCUGUGACCAGCCACUCCCUGUCGGGCAGACCUUUCUUCUUGCCUUUGGAUGAGCUGCGUUCCCAUCAGGCCUAGGCUCUUGGGGACCACAGGGUACCCGCGCUUUCCCACGUGACAGCACUGAGGUUGUCACUGAAGGUCACAGGGUUUCCAUUUAAUCAUUUCGUGCACACUGUUGUGUGGGCGGAAAAUACACUGAGGCCGUGAGGAAACCACUUCUGCUUGGGAGCUGAGGCAGGACCUGGAAUUUAGUCAUAAACACCAUUUUGGUGGUUUUUCUUCUUUUAAGAUUAAAGCUGCUCUGACCUAGAAUCUCGGGGACCACGCCGAGGAAGAAGCAAACACCCUGCCUGGCAGCUGCCGCCGUCCCCCUCCCGGCCUCUUGUCUGCGAAGCUGUGGGAUCUCCCUCAAGCCUCUCCCGCCUGCAGUGAACACGGGACCUCUCCGUCAGCUGGCUGGACUUCUCAUUUGGAGUCCUGUGCUAACAGACUGUAAAUGCAACACUUGACAUUUUACCAUCAAUUUAAGGCAAUUUUCCGUAUCAUCUAAUCAAUAGAUGAAGGGCCUCUGCAGCGUCUUGUAGGAUUACAGAUGCAAUUAAAUAAUAUUCAUAAGUCCUCAUUACCCAUCUGCUUACUGCAACAAACUCUAUAAUCGGCACAUUUGUUUGUGUUAUAAAUCAGACUCUACUGAUAAACUUGAUUUUCCACAGAGCGUGAAGCCUUUCCUGGAGUACCAGGCAGCAAACGACUUAACUCUCUAUUCCUUCCAGAAAUAAAAAAAGUAACACCGAAUACAGGUGGUACAAUUUCCCAAGACCAGACGAGUGAUGUGCUCAGACACCAGGCCACUGGAUUAAAUAAAACCUCCUUCAAACAAAACAGUUUCACAAGAGCCAGCAGAUGCGUAUUUUCUCCUGGGACUUAUGGGACCAUCUGGUCGUGCAUUUCCAGCCACGCACUUCACAUUCAGUUCUGUCUUUAAAGCAUCAAGUAAUUUUAAAUACAGUGUAGUUUAUGUACCAAUGUAAAUAAAUUUAUGUUUACUCAUAACCUUAGCUCAAAUAAAUUGGGCUUAUGUUUGUAAGCUGAUGAAAGUUUAAUUUCUUCCAUAAGAGACUCAUCUUAUUACCAUAAUAUUUCAUGAUGCUGUGGCUGUUUCAUGUUUAACUUAUAAAAAGCCUUUAAAGUAUGACUACAGAAGUAAGAUUUCAGCAAUUCCUGUAAAGUCUUUAAUGAACCAAUUAAAUUGCAAGAGCGUUCUCAGGUUUGUCUUUGAAAGUUGUUGCUAUUUUUAACAGAACGCUGCAAGGACAUCUCCUGCUCCCCUUCGUUCUGCUCGUACAAAACAUCUUAUGUGAAAAGCUUGUUGAAAUCAAGGUGAGAACAAACUUCAUAGCAGGAGAAAGGACACUAAAUAGCCUGGAAAUAAUACAGAACAGCCUGGAAAUAAUACAACAGUGAAAUGGUGAUGAGUCAGACUCCGCUGGUGAUCCCCACUUUACACGGAGCACGAAACAUUCGCCUGGGAACAGCCUCGCACAAGGCCCCAGGAUGUUAAGUUAUCUUCCAAGUGCAGCGUUUCACAUUUAUUUACGAUCCGUAACAUCCCCGGGGGAAGGCACCUUCCUGUUCCAGAACUAGGCUAUUCACCAGCAAAGUUUCAGUAAGUUGUUUGAGUUAGGAAAUGGCCUCUUGUCGGCCCCACCACCCUGAACGCGCCCGAUCUCGUCUGAUCUCGGAAGCUAAGCAGGUUCAGGCCUGGUUAGUACUUGGAUGGGAGGAAAUGGGAAGAGCGACGUGUGGGGAAAG